rnacentral:misc_RNA from 1 species
GGCUACAUGGGAAACAAGGGUUCUGUUUCUGUCAGCAUGUCUCUUUAUCAGUCGCGGUUAUGCUUUGUUUGUUCUCAUUUGACAUCUGGUCAGAAGGAUGGAGCAGAACACAAGCGUAAUGCAGACGUGAAUGAAAUCAUAAGACGAACAAGAUUUUCAUCUGUGUUUGAUUCAGGACAGCCACAGACAAUAUCAUCACAUGAUCAAGUAUUCUGGUUUGGUGAUUUGA